rnacentral:snRNA from 1 species
AUCGCUUCUCGGCCUUUUGGCUAAGAUCAAGUGUAGUAUCUGUUCUUAUCAGUUUAAUAAAAUGAUCACACUGUUAUUCAAGGGAGUGAUACUUGCCUGGCUGAUGUGGCUCAGUGGUUAAGCGUCAAUCCAGGAACCAAGAGGUCACCAGUU